rnacentral:lncRNA from 1 species
GUGCUAAAGGUCCUGGACCUUCCAGUACCAAAUGGUAAUUUGAACCCCUGUACAUGUUUUAGUAAAUAAACUGUCACACACUUAAUAAAUAAAUAAUAAAUAAGCUUUAUUUAGAGUCUGCAAGGUAUACAAACAUAGACAUGAUAGACAAACAUAAGCUCUAAUGAGCUUUUAACUGACAUACAAGACAUUUAUAACAAUACAACAUUGAUAACAAUACAACACAUAAUACACAAUUUCACAGCACACAAAUGAAGCAC